UACGUAGGGGGCUAGCGUUGUCCGGAAUCAUUGGGCGUAAAGCGCGUGUAGGCGGUUCGGUAAGUCCGCUGUGAAAGUCGGGGGCUCAACCCUCGGAUGCCGGUGGAUACUGUCGAGCUUGAGUACGGAAGAGGCGAGUGGAAUUCCUGGUGUAGCGGUGAAAUGCGCAGAUAUCAGGAGGAACACCGGUGGCGAAGGCGGAUCUCUGGGCCAUUACUGACGCUGAGGAGCGAAAGCGUGGGGAGCGAACAGG
rnacentral:rRNA from 1 species